GGUCCUGUGGCCCAAUGGAUAAGGCGCCUGACUACGAAUCAGAAGAUUCCAGGUUCGAGUCCUGGCAGGAUCG
rfam:Ciona savignyi cont_28725, whole genome shotgun sequence.